rnacentral:rRNA from 1 species
UGAUACGCGAAGAACCUUACCAGGUCUUGACAUCCCCCGCGAUGCUUAGUAGAUAAAGCGGAGGUAUUCGGGGAGACAGGUGGUGCAUGGUUGUCGUCAGCUCGUGUCGUGAGAUGUUGGGUUAAGUCCCGCAACGAGCGCAACCCUAUGCUAGUUACCAUCAUUAAGUUGGGGACUCUAGCGAGACUGCCAGUGAUAAACUGGAGGAAGGUGGGGAUGACGUCAAAUCAUCAUGCCCCUUAUGACCUGGGCUACAAACGUGAUACAAUGGCUGGAACAAAGGGAUGCGAAGCAGUGAUGUGGAGCGAAACCCAUAAAAACAGUCUCAGUUCGGAUUGAAGUCUGCAACUCGACUUCAUGAAGUCGGAAUCGCUAGUAAUCGCGGAUCAGAACGCCGCGGUGAAUACGUUCUCGGGGUUU